GCUCCUCAUCGGGAGGCAGCAGUGGGAAUCUUAGACAAAUGGGGGAAACCCUGAUCUAGCCAUGCCGCGUGAGCGAUGAAGGCCUUAGGGUUGUAAAGCUCUUUCAGCGGGGAAGAUAAUGACGGUACCCGCAGAAGAAGCCCCGGCUAACUCCGUGCCAGCAGCCGCGGUAAUACGGAGGGGCUAGCGUUGUUCGGAAUUACUGGGCGUAAAGCGCGCGUAGCGGAUUGGAAAGUCAGAGGUGAAAUCCCGGGGCUCAACCCCGGAACUGCCUUUGAACUCCCAGU
rnacentral:rRNA from 1 species